rnacentral:tRNA from 1 species
AGAGUAGUAUUUUAAUGAAAAAAAUUGACCUGCAAUCAAAAAAUGCCUUUGCCUAUUCU